GUUGUCGUGGCCGAGUGGUUAAGGCGAUGGAACAGAAAUAUUUUGGAUCUUCUCGCGCAGGUUCGAAUCCUGCCGACAUCG
rnacentral:tRNA from 1 species